GAACACGGCGGACAGGUUGUCGGUCUCCGGGUCGUGACCGGACGGCACGGUGGUCAGGAUCGAGCCGGUGCAGCCGUUGGCUGUGGUCU
rnacentral:tRNA from 1 species